CAUUCAGUAGCCUAGCUACUUGUUUACGCCCUUGUUUUUGCGUACCUAUUGUUUCCUCGGCGGGCUUGCUCGCCGGUUGGACAAAUACUAUAACCUUUUUAAAUCUUCAAUCAGCGUCUGAAUUAUAUACAAUAAUUA
rnacentral:misc_RNA from 1 species